CAUGAUCCACAUCAUAGUAACCAACAGAGUAAUCCUCGUUUUGAUCUGAUCCAUCGUGGCUUUAUAUGGACGACAGAGCUUGAACGAUGUACAAUCACACUGAUUCACUACUACUGGUGCUACAUUGGUUACAAAAUCCCUGCCUUCAUCGCUGACAUGGGAUCCUUUUGUUCUGGGCAAAGACCAAGAAUGAAUAAGUUAUAUGGCAAGCUGGACCGGGCAACAAAGAGCUUGAUCUUCUAGCAUCACUUCCAGAGGCUGGGAG